UGGGGCGUAGCCAAGUGGUAAGGCAGCGGAUUUUGAUUCCGCCAUGCGGAGGUUCGACCCCUCCCGCCCCAGCCA
rnacentral:tRNA from 1 species